GAAAACAACGUCCAUCGUGGUCUCACAUUCCUUCACUAACUUUGUGAUCAGUUCCGUUGUGAAAAAUGGUUGCUGCAACACCUUCUCGAUGAACGGUAAUCUCAACAGAUGUCCUGUUCUCUUGUCGUACUUCUUCAGUAUCUUAGCCAGCCCUGUUUUUUGUCGACCCAAAAAAAAUAUGAUAAAAAUGAAAUUAAACUAAAUUAAACGAAAUGAUGAAAUUGAAUUUAAACCUGUGUAAUUGACAUUGCUGUAGUUUUCUAACAGAACCAUUUCUCCGUGAAAAUUAACGAUAUCUCUCCUGAUCUUCCCAAUCUCCGAUCUAUACUCGAUAUCCGACGCCCUAGUCCCCUGAGGUCCCACCGUGGCGAUGAUAUCUCGUAUUUUCUCUUGCAGUUCCUUCUGACGAAUGAUGAAAUCCUCCUCCUUCUCGACGAAGAAAGCGUUGAACUUAUCGAUCUCCGCAUGAAGAAGGUGUAUGAACUUAGCCUCUGUC
rnacentral:lncRNA from 1 species